rnacentral:tRNA from 1 species
AAAUUGAAAGCGAUUACGCACUAAGUUUCGACCUUAGCUUUGAAAAUUAUUUUCUCAGUUUA